rnacentral:rRNA from 1 species
AGAGUUUGAUCCUGGCUCAGGACGAACGCUGGCGGCGCGCCUAACACAUGCAAGUCGAACGAGCGAGAGAGAGCUUGCUUUCUCGAGCGAGUGGCGAACGGGUGAGUAACGCGUGAGGAACCUGCCUCAAAGAGGGGGACAACAGUUGGAAACGACUGCUAAUACCGCAUAAGCCCACGGGUCGGCAUCGACCAGAGGGAAAAGGGGCAAUCCGCUUUGAGAUGGCCUCGCGUCCGAUUAGCUAGUUGGUGAGGUAACGGCCCACCAAGGCGACGAUCGGUAGCCGGACUGAGAGGUUGAACGGCCACAUUGGGACUGAGACACGGCCCAGACUCCUACGGGAGGCAGCAGUGGGGAAUAUUGCACAAUGGGGGAAACCCUGAUGCAGCGACGCCGCGUGGAGGAAGAAGGUCUUCGGAUUGUAAACUCCUGUUGUUGAGGAAGAUAAUGACGGUACUCAACAAGGAAGUGACGGCUAACUACGUGCCAGCAGCCGCGGUAAAACGUAGGUCACAAGCGUUGUCCGGUAUUACUGGGUGUAAAGGGAGCGCAGGCGGGAAGACAAGUUGGAAGUGAAAUCCAUGGGCUUAACCCAUGAACUGCUUUCAAAACUGUUUUUCUUGAGUAGUGCAGAGGUAGGCGGAAUUCCCGGUGUAGCGGUGGAAUGCGUAGAUAUCGGGAGGAACACCAGUGGCGAAGGCGGCCUACUGGGCACCAACUGACGCUGAGGCUCGAAAGUGUGGGUAGCAAACAGGAUUAGAUACCCUGGUAGUCCACACUGUAAACGAUGAUUACUAGGUGUUGGAGGAUUGACCCCUUCAGUGCCGCAGUUAACACAAUAAGUAAUCCACCUGGGGAGUACGACCGCAAGGUUGAAACUCAAAGGAAUUGACGGGGGCCCGCACAAGCAGUGGAGUAUGUGGUUUAAUUCGACGCAACGCGAAGAACCUUACCAAGUCUUGACAUCCGUUGACCGCUGUAGAAAUACAGUUUUCCUUCGGGACAGCGAGACAGGUGGUGCAUGGUUGUCGUCAGCUCGUGUCGUGAGAUGUUGGGUUAAGUCCCGCAACGAGCGCAACCCUUAUGGUCAGUUACUACGCAAGAGGACUCUGGCCAGACUGCCGUUGACAAAACGGAGGAAGGUGGGGAUGACGUCAAAUCAUCAUGCCCUUUAUGACUUGGGCUACACACGUACUACAAUGGCGUUAAACAAAGAGAAGCAAGACCGCGAGGUGGAGCAAAACUCAGAAACAACGUCCCAGUUCGGACUGCAGGCUGCAACUCGCCUGCACGAAGUCGGAAUUGCUAGUAAUCGUGGAUCAGCAUGCCACGGUGAAUACGUUCCCGGGCCUUGUACACACCGCCCGUCACACCAUGAGAGCCGGGGGGACCCGAAGUCGGUAGUCUAACCGCAA